AACACACUGUGCUUGCACACCGUGUUUUCUUGAGUCCGCGAACGGGUGAGUAACGCGUAGGUAACCUGCCUAUUAGCGGGGGAUAACUAUUGGAAACGAUAGCUAAUACCGCAUAAUAUUAAUUAUUGCAUGAUAAUUGAUUGAAAGAUGCAAGCGCAUCACUAGUAGAUGGACCUGCGUUGUAUUAGCUAGUUGGUAAGGUAAGAGCUUACCAAGGCGACGAUACAUAGCCGACCUGAGAGGGUGAUCGGCCACACUGGGAUGAGACACGGCCCAGACUCCUACGGGAGGCAGCAGUAGGGAAUCUUCGGCAAUGGACGAAAGUCUGACCGAGCAACGCCGCGUGAGUGAAGAAGGUUUUCGGAUCGUAAAGCUCUGUUGUAAGUCAAGAACGUGUGUGAGAGUG
rnacentral:rRNA from 1 species